rfam:Dipodomys ordii contig_90253, whole genome shotgun sequence.
GGUGGCUCAGUGGUAGAGCACUUGCCUUGCAUGCAUGAGGCCCUCGGUUUGAUUCCUCGGCACCA